GGAAUGAAGGGUUUCAAUAAAAGGCAUUAUGACUCCAUUAAUGGUUCAAGAGGGCUAUCUGGUUUCGUUAAAAGAUCAUAUGAUCCUAUUUCUGGAAGUCAUGGCUUUUCUGGAUUUGUCAAAAGAGAAACCAAUACAAACGGCUCGAAAAAUUCCGAAUCCUUUUAAAGAUUUUAUAUAAUGAAUAUUACCUAAUAAUGUCACUCUUGAUCUGUAUGACUAAAUUAAGGGAAAAUUAUGUGUCAUGAUUUGCUAUAAAUGGAUAAAACGUUUAGGAAAAUAUUUGAUAUUAUAAUGAACCAUAUGCAUAUUAUACUGACUACUGGACUAAAGUGUAUUUAAGGAAAAUUAAACUAGAAUGCAAGUAUCACAUAGGCCUGCCUAAAGUUUCGGAUACUUGUAAAUAUAUGUAUGAAGAUUAAACCAAUCUGACUUUUGACUGUGUCUUGAAUUCGCGGACAGCUUAUAAAGGUUUGCAGGCAAAGCAUGAAAUUAUCGUUACCCGAUUUUCAAUUCAAAUUAUUAUAUAAAAUGUUAAUAUGUUUACUAUUUCCAUAGAUAUAUUCUGUGUUGAAUAACUGCAAUCGUUCCGUCGUUUUCUGGUUUGUAUCAAAACAAAUAACAUUAAAAUAUGCAGAAUUGUGUGAUUCAAUGUAGAUUGCGUGUCCCAGCUUUUUAUAUUGUUCGGUUUUCUUUCAAUGAAAUGUUUUUAAAAAAUCAUUAACAUUAAAGUUGAAUUUUGU
rnacentral:misc_RNA from 1 species